rnacentral:lncRNA from 1 species
UUUAGAAUUUAAUUGCCAGGUCAUACAGAAGUUAUUUAUGGAAAACUUUUUUUAAAAGAUAUUCGUUUUUUAUCAAUUUUAUCUAAAUUUUGUUCAAUGUUUUAUCAAUCAAUUGCCCGUAUUUAAUAAAUAAGAAGCAAAUAUAGCAGACAAUAUAAUAACCUUAGUGUAAUUGACAGAAUUACAAAAAAAUAUUUUCCCCUAUAUAAUCUCCCUUAAGUGUUUCUCUCAUUCUCUCUGCAGAUGUGCUGUCAUCACUUCAUCUGUCCCAGCAGGCAGUUCUGUCAGUUUCUUUUGCGGUGGAAUGGAAGGUCGUUAUGUGAACAUGUACCUUCCUAACAUCAAGAUGUAUCUCACACUGUGUGAGGUGGAGGUUUAUGGAACAGCCAAGAAGCAGGUGAUCCGAGUGCAGGUGAAAGCUGCUGAGAAUGUGGAUGAAGCUGAACUGAAGGAGCUCGUCUUAAACAAGGUGGAUUUUAUAUUACUCAUCUGACUAAAAUCAAUUGUUGAACAUGCAACAAACAGAAAACAUCAGGUCAGUUUAGACAUCAGUCUAAAAAUAAGAUUUAAUAAAUCAGAUCAGAUUUCCCCACCAGUGUGAACAAAAACCACUUCAGUCAGUCUUUAUGUAAAGACAAAACACAAUGCUUUGUGUUUGGAUUUUUGACAAAUUCUGAUCUUUCUGUAAGAUUUGUAAAGUAAGAGAUGUUAAUUUUGAGUUGAAAUGGCUCAAUCUUGUCUGUGUGGGAUCUAUCCACUGAGUAACUGAAGACUGUUUCUGUGUUUAGUUAAAUCAGACGCUGAGCGAUCAGGACGUCACACUGACAUGGAGGACGCAACCCAACGGGAAAGUCUUCCAGAAGAACAGGACUGUACUGAAACAAUCUCCUGUUUGUUCUUCUUUGAAGUGAAAUGUUAUUUAAUGCAGUUCAUUCUUAGUUACAGAUAUCUGAAUUAUUACUUUUAUUACAUUAAAAAGGCUAUUCUAUUCUAGAUUGUUGCACUAGACUAAAAACGUACAGUAAUUUCUUAAAGAAUAUUUACAUAUAUUCAUUUUGCAUUUAUUCAUUUAAUUGAUAUUUAAU